GUGCGGAGGGGCGGGGUCUAGGGAAGGGCGGAGUCUAGGGGAGGCCGGAGCAGGAGGGGGCCUGGAGCCGCGCGCCUUUUGAGCGCAUCAGUUUCCGCGACAUCAACUAGAAAGCUCUGGGGGAUACAAGGUCCAAGCGCCCGGGAAUCCCCAGAGAAGUGUCAGCAAAUAGACUACAGGUGGAACACGCUGCUUGAGAAGUGCGUGCCGGACAAAGCAGACAGUAGCUGCGCCUAGUCAGAGACGGGGUCUCGCUCUUCCUCAGACUGGUCUUGAACUC